UACGUAGGGGGCAAGCGUUGUCCGGAAUCAUUGGGCGUAAAGCGCGUGUAGGCGGCUCGAUAAGUCCGCUCUGAAAGCCCGGGGCUCAACCCCGGGAGGCGGGCGGAAACUGUCGGGCUAGAGUCCGGAAGAGGCGAGUGGAAUUCCCGGUGUAGCGGUGAAAUGCGCAGAUAUCGGGAGGAACACCAAUGGCGAAGGCAGCUCGCUGGGACGUGACUGACGCUGAGACGCGAAAGCGUGGGGAGCGAUCCGG
rnacentral:rRNA from 1 species